rnacentral:rRNA from 1 species
GAUAGGCUAAUUAAGGGCGUAUGGGGAAUGCCUUGGCUCUCAGAGGCGAUGAAGGACGUGAUAAGCUGCAAAAAGCUGCGGGGAGUGGCAAACACACUUUGAUCCGUAGAUAUCCGAAUGGGGAAACCCACUAUGUUGAAGACAUAGUACCUGAUUUAUCAGGAGCAAACCCAGGGAACUGAAACAUCUAAGUACCUGGGGGAGAAGAAAACAAAAGUGAUUCCGUUAGUAGUGGCGAGCGAAAGCGGAAUAGCCCAAACCUAUUUUGUUUUGGCAAAAUAGGGGUUGUAGGACCACAUUAUUUGAUGCUUAAUGAAUUAGAAUCUACUGGAAAGUAGUACCAUAGGGGGUGAUAGUCCCGUAUAA